GAGAGAGAGAGAGAGAGAGAGAGAGAGAGAGAGAGAGAGAGAGAUGAGAGAGAAGAGGCAGCGUGUGGAGCUAAAGAGAGAAGGAGAGAAAAGAAGGAAGAAAAAGAGAGAGAUCAAGGAAGAAGUAGGAAGAAAACUUGGCUCAAAGGUUGUAGGUGCCAAGAAAAAGGGAGAAUCAACUUUGUGAGUUGAUCGCUAUCUAAGGAGGUAAAGGCAAAAGAAAGAUGGACCAUCCUUCAGUUGGAGAGCUUAGGUGACGAUGUGUACAUAUGUGGCUGCUCGACACCCACGGCCGAGGGUUUAAAGAGGAAUUAGGGGUAAACCCUAUUUCGCCGCUUAGGUCGGCUGGUUGUAAAUAUUUUAUUGUAAUUAACCUUUAAAAUAUAUUUUGGGAUCCCAAUGUAUACAAUAGACAUUUUAGUGAAACGUUGUAUCUUUUACCAAAAUUUUUAACCCUAAACCGUUAAUCAUAUUUAGUUACA